rnacentral:rRNA from 1 species
CCCCCAGUGAAAAUGCCCCCAACUCCUGAAAUGAGACGGGGAGCCGGUAUCAGGCACACUAAAAGUAGCCCAUGACACCUUGUUUAGCCACACCCCCAAGGGUAUUCAGCAGUGAUUAACUUUAAGCAAUAAGUGUAAACUUGACUUAGUAAUGACUAAUUUUAAGGCCGGUAAAAUUCGUGCCAGCAACCGCGGUUAUACGAAAGGCCUAAGUGGAUGGAUUGCGGCGUAAAGGGUGGUUAGGGAACCCUAUCACUAAAGUUAAACCCCCUCUUGGCAGUUUUAAGCUUAUGAGGAUGAGAAACUCACCCACGAAAGUGACUUUACCCUCCUGACCCCACGAAAGCUAGGGAGCAAACUGGGAUUAGAUACCCCACUAUGCCUAGUUGUAAACAAUGAUAUAAUAACAUCAAAUUAUCCGCCAGGGUAUUACGAACAUUAGUUUAAAACCCAAAGGAUCUGGCGGUGCUUAAUACCCAUCUAGAGGAGCCUGUUCUAUAACCGAUAACCCCCGUUAAACCUCACCCCCUUUUGCAACUCCU